UACGUAGGGGGCAAGCGUUGUCCGGAAUCAUUGGGCGUAAAGCGCGUGUAGGCGGCCCGGUAAGUCCGUUGUGAAAGCCCUGGGCUCAACCUGGGAAUUGCAGUGGAUACUGGCGAGCUAGAGUGCGGUAGAGGAUGGUGGAAUUCCCGGUGUAGCGGUGAAAUGCGCAGAUAUCGGGAGGAACACCGGUGGCGAAGGCGGUUCUCUGGGCCUUACCUGACGCUGAGGCAGCGAAAGCGUGGGAGCGA
rnacentral:rRNA from 1 species